rnacentral:pre_miRNA from 1 species
UUGGGGUGAGGUAGUAGGUUGUAUAGUUUGGGGCUCUGCCCUGCUUUGGGAUAACUAUACAAUCUACUGUCUUUCCUGA